UUGUAUGGAACUACCUCUCGUAAACACAAACAAGUCGUUUCACGGAAGGAGACAGUUGUUGCCAAGGCGUUUAGAGACGACAAAAGGCGGCAGUGUCACCUUGACGGUCGGAGCGCUGCUGCCGACUCCGCUGACGUCGAAAUGUUCCCGCCGGCGACGGCGAAGUGCGAUCAGCAUUACACCGGUACGACGUUGGACGCCCGCCGUCGACGUCAGUGUCAGCCGCCUGCGCCGCCAGCGGCGCCGCAUAAAAGCUGCCGCCCGUCCUUUCAGCAGCAGUCGUCUCACGCAUCCGGAUUAACAUGAAGCUUCUCCUGGUCCUGUUAGUCGCAGCGGUGGCGUUUGCGGUGGCAGCCGCCAUGCCUCACGGAGGAGGUGGUGGACUGUUGUACCCGGGCGGUAUCUACCCUGGAGGCAUCUACCCGGGCGGUAUCUACCCUGGAGGGAUCUACCCUGGCGGCUACCCCAGCGGAAUCUACCCCGGCUUCUUCCCGGGAUAGGCAUCUGAUGCUGAUUUGAUUCAUCGUUGGGUUUCCUUGACGACACCUUACCAACAGUGUAGCCUCUGGUUUCAUUAAAAUAAAAUGCAGAAACACUUAA